GACGAACGCUGGCGGCGUACUUAACACAUGCAAGUCGAACGGAAAGGCCCUGCUUUUGUGGGGUGCUCGAGUGGCGAACGGGUGAGUAACACGAGAGUAACCUGCCCUUGACUUUGGGAUAACUUCAGGAAACUGGGGCUAAUACCGGAUAGGAGCUCCUGCUGCAUGGUGGGGGUUGGAAAGUUUCGGCGGUUGGGGAUGGACUCGCGGCUUAUCAGCUUGUUGGUGGGGUAGUGGCUUACCAAGGCUUUGACGGGUAGCCGGCCUGAGAGGGUGACCGGCCACAUUGGGACUGAGAUACGGCCCAGACUCCUACGGGAGGCAGCAGUGGGGAAUAUUGCACAAUGGGCGGAAGCCUGAUGCAGCAACGCCGCGUGCGGGAUGACGGCCUUCGGGUUGUAAACCGCUUUCGCCUGUGACGAAGCGUGAGUGACGGUAAUGGGUAAAGAAGCACCGGCUAACUACGUG
rnacentral:rRNA from 1 species